rnacentral:rRNA from 1 species
AACGGGUGAGUAACACGUGAGCAACCUGCCCCUGACUCUGGGAUAAGCGCUGGAAACGGCGUCUAAUACUGGAUAUGUGACGUGGCCGCAUGGUCUGCGUCUGGAAAGAAUUUCGGUUGGGGAUGGGCUCGCGGCCUAUCAGCUUGUUGGUGAGGUAAUGGCUCACCAAGGCGUCGACGGGUAGCCGGCCUGAGAGGGUGACCGGCCACACUGGGACUGAGACACGGCCCAGACUCCUACGGGAGGCAGCAGUGGGGAAUAUUGCACAAUGGGCGCAAGCCUGAUGCAGCAACGCCGCGUGAGGGACGACGGCCUUCGGGUUGUAAACCUCUUUUAGCAGGGAAGAAGCGAAAGUGACGGUACCUGCAGAAAAAGCGCCGGCUAACUACGUGCCAGCAGCCGCGGUAAUACGUAGGGCGCAAGCGUUAUCCGGAAUUAUUGGGCGUAAAGAGCUCGUAGGCGGUUUGUCGCGUCUGCUGUGAAAUCCGGAGGCUCAACCUCCGGCCUGCAGUGGGUACGGGCAGACUAGAGUGCGGUAGGGGAGAUUGGAAUUCCUGGUGUAGCGGUGGAAUGCGCAGAUAUCAGGAGGAACACCGAUGGCGAAGGCAGAUCUCUGGGCCGUAACUGACGC